rnacentral:rRNA from 1 species
ACUCCUACGGGAGGCAGCAGUNGGGAAUAUUGCNCAAUGGGCGAAAGCCUGAUNCAGCCACGCCGCGUGAGNGANGANGGCCUUAGGGUUGUAAACCUCUUUCAGCAGGUGAAGANAAUGACGGUACCUCCAAAAGAAGCCCCGGCUAACUCC